CUCGUAGGCGGCUUGUCGCGUCGACUGUGAAAACCCGCAGCUCAACUGCGGGCUUGCAGCCGAUACGGGCAGGCUAGAGUUCGGUAGGGGAGACUGGAAUUCCUGGUGUAGCGGUGAAAUGCGCAGAUAUCAGGAGGAACACCGGUGGCGAAGGCGGGUCUCUGGGCCGAUACUGACGCUGAGGAGCGAAAGCGUGGGGAGCGAACA
rnacentral:rRNA from 1 species